GUCCGGUAAAGACCGAUUUUGGCCUCAAAUUUCAGGUUCAUCUGACGAAAGAUUUUAACCACUUUUUAAACACUUAAGUAGAUAUAGGAAGAUGUGGUGUGAGUGCCAAUGAGACAACUCUCCAUACAAAUAACAAUUUAAAAAGUAAACCAUUAUAGGUUAAAGUACGGCCUUCAACACGGAGCCUUGGCUCACACCGAACAACAAGCUAUAAAGGGCCCCAAAAUUACUAGUGUAAAACCAUUCAAACGGGAAAACCAACGGUCUAAUCUAUAUAAACAAACGAGAAACGAGAAACACGUAUAUAUUACAUAAACAAACGACAACUACUGUACAUCAGAUUCCUGACUUAGGACAGGUGCAAACAUUUGCAGCGGGAUUAAACGUUUUAAUGGAUCCAAACCUUCUCCCUUUUUCUGAAACAAUAGCAUAACAUCACAACAAAGAAAAACAUACGAUAAAAUAUC
rnacentral:lncRNA from 1 species